UCUCUUGUUUCACGGGCGCGUUCAUAUAUAUGGCAUGUACGGCCGUGUUUUCACGCGCGGAUAAUUAUUGACUUGGAGAAAUUAUAUGGAUUUCUCCGUCAGUGAUGAUACUUUUAGGUUUUCGCUCGAUUUGUGUACAUGUAAAAAAUGUCAAUGAGUGUUGUGCUUGUGAAGCUGUGACCCCACUUGACAAGAUUCACCGUGACGCACGUCGUACAACUGUUGUUUCAACUCAUUCCCGGUUCGGAGGACGACGUCUCCCGUAUGGACAUGGAGACGAUCCUGGAAACGUUUUCACUCGAACACGAGUAAGAAAUUGAGACCGCGACAAUAGAAGUCCUCAUGGCUUCUUACGUCUCAGAAGUGGCGAGAAAUCGCCAUGCAGCGGGAACUAAAGGGGGAGCUCUUUUUCAGAGUGUCCUGAAGCUUAGAGGACCAGAAUUUUCCAUUAGAACGCACUGCCCCUUUAAGCUUCGGCGCAGUGGAGCACCUCCUCUACUCCCUGGUGCCGCAGUGGAAUAGUGCCAGCGCUGCGGGUGAGCGAGCUCGCAGAAUGCUGGCUGGCUAGCCAAACACCACUGGAUCCGUGGGUCCUGACACAAGACCACGAUCACGAAGAUGAGGAAAACCACGAAAAUUCACACCUCAUGGGAUCGUGUGAGGCAAUAAACGCAUGUUGUCUCCGGCGGUGAGCCCUCUCUUCCCAUAGAAUAGAGGACUAGGAAACCGCAAAUCCUCCGUAUCAAAGCGAGCGUGGAGAAUCUGGAGCUAAAGGCGAGGACGACAACGUUGUCACCAGCAGCACCACCUUCAGGCUUUCUAUGUUUUCACAGACGGUGGUUCGCAUCGUUGUCCCAUGCGACAUUGCAAGGAAAAAACACGCGAAAGAUUCAGGAGUAAAGCUGACAACGUCCCUGCUACGAAGGUUGAUGAAAGCCCGUAUAGGGACUUCAAAUGACGACGAGGCCGAAGAAUGAAACGAUAGCCACCGCAUGCCAUUAAAUACACAGGAGCUCUUCCCAACGAGCAACCUCUCCCAACAACUAGGUCAAGGGUUCCUUAAGCGCAAGGAAAAGUGAAUACUGCGUUUUGAUUUUGUUUGGAGUGACUGGUAUGCCCGUGCGAUCCUUCCAUUACGUCGGACACGAAUGCGAGAGCAAAUUCCACUCUCUCCCGUUACGUGUCUGAACUUCUGACACAAAGCUUUUGUUUUGCAGCGUCGCGUGAAACACGGAAGAGACCCCAAGUGACAAGGCCUUCGUGCGCGCGCCCUGGCAGCCAGCGUUCCAAAGUCGUUGCAAAACUGGAGACUGCGGCUCCUCUUCGUAAUGUGAGAUCGGACGUCUGUAUGUUUACAUUCAAUAAAGAUAUUUCUGUAAGUCAGUAAAACAGAGACUCGU